rnacentral:rRNA from 1 species
AUUGAACGCUGGCGGCAGGCCUAACACAUGCAAGUCGAACGAGUGGCGGACGGGUGAGUAAUGUCUGGGAAACUGCCCGAUGGAGGGGGAUAACUACUGGAAACGGUAGCUAAUACCGCAUACUAUCGGAUGAACCCAUAUGGGAUUAGCUAGUAGGUGGGGUAAAGGCUCACCUAGGCGACGAUCUCUAGCUGGACUGAGAGGAUUAUCAGCAACACUGGGGUUGGGACACGGCCCAGACUCAUACGGGAGGCAGCCGUGGGGAAUAUUGGACAAUGGGCGCAAGCCUGAUGCAGCCAUGCCGCGUGUAUGAAGAAGGCCUUAGGGUUGUAAAGUACUUUCAGCGGGGAGGCGUUACCCGCAGAAGAAGCACCGGCUAACUCCGUGCCAGCAGCCGCGGUAAUAC